rnacentral:tRNA from 1 species
GGGUAUGUAGCUUAGAUGGUAAUAGAGCGCUCGCUUAGCAUGCGAGAGGCACGGGGAUCGAUAUUCUGCAUCUCCA